CUGUGUGUGGGCUCCUGUCAGAACCCAUGAACCUUAAGCUGCUCCUCCUUGACAAUGCCAACCUGUAAAGUAAGCAAUCAGCAGCGUCACCCACGGACAGGUUGUCAAGAAUAGUCAGCUAGCAGCUCGUGUGACACCCAACCCUGGCUGCUGGCAGCACCAACCCACCCUCCCUUGCCGUCUCCACCUCGGUUUCAUUGUAAGGCAGCCAAGCACUCACCUCCAAGAGAAACUGGCAAAUGUUUUUCCUUUGGUCACCUUGAAGCUGAAUAACCUCGCCGUACUCGGGAUGUUCAAUCACAGUACCAUUACAGGCAAAUUUCUAGAGGAAGCACAUUUACAAAGGUAACUGGUCAAAUAUAAUUUUUCUUUUACAAUGAGGUUUUACUUCACCAUGAGACUAAAUUACUGUUUUAGCAGGCUUAUCUUUAAGAAACAGAUUGCCUCCUAAAAUCCCGAACCCUCCCAAAUUAAUCUGUAAACAAAUGAGCAGAUCACAUAGA